AUGAUCAUUGUUCAGGCAGUUGCAAUGAAUGAUCUUUGGAUAUGGCAUUCAUUCUUUGGUUUUCUUGGCUCUCACAAUGACUUGAAUGUGCUAUCGAGAUCGCCACUGUUUUCUACGCUUAUUACAGGAGAUGCUCCUGCUUGCAACUACUCGGUCAACGGCCACAACUACUCAAUGGGUUACUACCUUGCGGAUGGCAUCUAUCCAACAUGA
rnacentral:rRNA from 1 species